rnacentral:rRNA from 1 species
UGGGGAAUAUUGCACAAUGAGCGAAAGCCUGAUCCAGCCAUGCCGCGUGUGUGAAGAAGGUCUUCGGAUUGUAAAGCACUUUAAGUUGGGAGGAAGGGCAUUAACCUAAUACGUUAGUGUUUUGACGUUACCGACAGAAUAAGCACCGGCUAACUCUGUGCCAGCAGCCGCGGUAAUACAGAGGGUGCAAGCGUUAAUCGGAAUUACUGGGCGUAAAGCGCGCGUAGGUGGUUUGUUAAGUUGGAUGUGAAAUCCCCGGGCUCAACCUGGGAACUGCAUUCAAAACUGACUGACUAGAGUAUGGUAGAGGGUGGUGGAAUUUCCUGUGUAGCGGUGAAAUGCGUAGAUAUAGGAAGGAACACCAGUGGCGAAGGCGACCACCUGGACUAAUACUGACACUGAGGUGCGAAAGCGUGGGGAGCAAACA